UUGAUUACGGCAACAUAAAUACAGAGAAAUGGAAGCUUACAAAAACUAGUUUCUUCUAUUUCGCUUCUUUUCCUACGGCUCUCUUCAAUUUUCUCCUUCUCUCAAGCUAGGGCAAAGUGCAUUUCAGCUUGAUUUGGAUCUUCGCUCAGUUGCUGUCAAGAAACGCAAGGCAAACUCCAGCGGCUAAGGAACACUCGUGUAUUCAGGUCUGUUUACAACAUACUCAGUUUUUUGCAUCGAUAUUUGGCCAUGGAUUUAGGGAUUACUCGUCAUAUUCAGCGCAAAAUUUCCAUCCAUAUUAGGAGGUAUUUAUGAACACUACUCUUAUAUGGUACAUUAUAAACACAAGAAAUGGAGAUGCAGGGUAUCGAUCCCCGUACUUCUUGCAUGCUAAGCAAGUGCUCUAUCAUAUGAGCUGCCUCCCCAAUUCAUUAUUCAAAUAUAUGGGAAACACAAGGCACGACAUAUCCUAACGGCUAAGGAACACUCGUCAUAAUCAGGUCUGUUUAUAAGUUACGUUAUAUUCAUGUUAUGAACUGUGGCUCUUACAAAAUGGAGAGGCAUGGUAUCGAUCCUGUAACUUACAUGCUAAGCAAGCACUCUACCAUAUGAGCCACAUCCCUAAUUCAUUAUUCCCGUACCUCUUGCAUGCUAAGCAAGCACUCUACUCCCAAUUCAUUAGUCAAAUAUAUGUGAAACACAAGGCAAACGACAUGUUCCAACGGCUAAGGAAUACUCGUCAUAUUCAGGUUCGUUUAUAAGUUACUCAGUUUUGCAUCAAUAUUUGGCCAUGGAUUUAGGGCCUUUGAAUUUGAUCCAAACCCAUCUAAAAUGGAGAUGCAAGAUGCAAA